GAUGAACGCUGGCGGCGUGCCUAAUACAUGCAAGUCGAGCGAACAGACGAGGAGCUUGCUCCUUUGACGUUAGCGGCGGACGGGUGAGUAACACGUAGGUAACCUACCUAUAAGACUGGGAUAACUUCGGGAAACCGGAGCUAAUACCGGAUAAUAUUUCGAACCGCAUGGUUCGAUAGCGAAAGAUGGCUUUGCUAUCACUUAUAGAUGGACCUGCGCCGUAUUAGCUAGUUGGUAAGGUAACGGCUUACCAAGGCAACGAUACGUAGCCGACCUGAGAGGGUGAUCGGCUACACUGGAACUGAGACACGGUCCAGACUCCUACGGGAGGCAGCAGUAGGGAAUCUUCCGCAAUGGGCGAAAGCCUGACGGAGCAACGCCGCGUGAGUGAUGAAGGUCUUCGGAUCGUAAAACUCUGUUAUUAGGGAAGAACAAACGUGUAAGUAACUGUGCACGUCUUGACGGUACCUAAUCAGAAAGCCACGGCUAACUACGUG
rnacentral:rRNA from 1 species